UUCCCUCCACAUUUGGAAUCAAUGUGCGUUUAGAGGAUUUGCCCGCUGUAAAUGUCCAAGCGAUAAGCCAAAUUCUGUGGGCUUUCCAUUUGUGGCCAUGUCGCUUCUGAAAAAGAGCUUUAGAGCUCGGUGGGUCUUAAAAGGGUAAAAUAAAAAAAAAAACAUAUAAAAAUAGUUUGGCUUUAUGGGACGUGAUAACCCACUUCGUUGAGCUAUCAUUUGUGACCAACUCCAAGCAUACAAGCGUCAGGGUCUGGAUGGAACACCACGACCUCCUGCACACGAGGCGAGCUCGUGGGUGAACGCGCAGCGGACGGACGAGCUGCUACGGGAACGUGCUGCCAUCUCUUGGGCAGCUCGGCCCAGUGUCCCGUCCCUCGAUAAGAGAGCUCGACUAACGUCACGCACGCACGGCCACUCCAACGAGAACAAUGGACGAACGCUCGCUGCAUCAACAACGUCGCCCACACGCCGGGUGGAGCGCGCGAUGACCGCCAGGACUUCCCACACCCCCCCACAUCCACCCACCCACCCAGCACCUCACAACUCUCCCCCACUGCGGCCGAACGUUGUCGCAACUGCCACGCGGGCGUUAAGCGUGGCAGCCCAAUGCCAUUAUUGGUCCGCUGCGACGACGCUGCGUUGGCGUUGUGUUGCGACUGCUGGUUCGCCGUGCGUCCACAAGGGAAGCUCGCGUGGCGACAGCGGGUCUCGUCGCGAAAUCACGCUGGCAGCGAGCAGCAGCAGCAGCAGCGGCAGCAGCAGCAGCGGCAGUCCACGACGCCAGUGGUUCCGAUUGGAUCUCAGUCGUUACGCACGUGCACAAUGUUAACUAACACGUAGGGUUCUACGAAGCCAAGUAAGUUGUUACUAAACGUGCGCGUGCUCACUUUGUGUCGUCGAUUAUUUUACCUUCGAACACAAAUCUCGGCCAUGGGCUCGCACCCGCCCGCCCGCCCAACCCCUCCCUCCCCCCCCAGAAAGGGCAUCUCGCACCCCCAGGCAGUGAAGAACUCACUGCACUAUGCCAUCGACAGGACAAGACAGCGGUCUUCAUCGCAAGGCCCGCAGGCCACUGGCGGUCUUUAGCGCGAC